AUGCCUAGGAAUCUGCCUGGUAGUGGGGGACAACGUUUCGAAAGGAACGCUAAUACCGCAUACGUCCUACGGGAGAAAGCAGGGGACCUUCGGGCCUUGCGCUAUCAGAUGAGCCUAGGUCGGAUUAGCUAGUUGGUGGGGUAAAGGCUCACCAAGGCGACGAUCCGUAACUGGUCUGAGAGGAUGAUCAGUCACACUGGAACUGAGACACGGUCCAGACUCCUACGGGAGGCAGCAGUGGGGAAUAUUGGACAAUGGGCGAAAGCCUGAUCCAGCCAUGCCGCGUGUGUGA
rnacentral:rRNA from 1 species